CAGGUGCUGAUGUGACAGAAGACUUUAAGCCUGAUCAGAGCAAAGAGACUCAAAGUCGUCACUCGCUUCGUCUUCAGAAACUAAGAACACAUCAUAAUUUGUGUCUGCAACGUUAUGAGAAGUGUUUAAAUGAGACCCUGAAUACAAAGCUAAACAGACCAAUGCUUGGAUCCACAACAAAACGAUCUCCGUUACCAUCAAGUUCUGAGGUCAGUGAGGAUGAAUAUAUUGCAUCAGUUGAAGAAACAGAAAGUGACAGUUUAGCAGAAAAUAACAAACGGCAGAAGAUUAAGAAACAAAAGGUACGGAAAUUUUUUUUAGCUGCUUCUAAAGUACUCAAGAGAAAGUGUACGACACAUUCCAGUUUGCUGACUGAGAACAGAGCCUCGUCUCCACCUGAUGCUAAUAACAACAGAGCCUCGUCUCCACCUGAUGCUAAUAACAACAGAGACUCGUCUCCACCUGAUGCUAAAAACAACAGAGACUCGUCUCCACCUGAAGCUAAUAACAGAGACUCGUCUCCACUCGAUGCUAAUAACAACAGAGACUCGUCUCCACCUGAUGCUAAAA